rnacentral:rRNA from 1 species
AUUGAACGCUGGCGGAAUGCCUUACACAUGCAAGUCGAACGGCAGCACGGGGCAACCUGGUGGCGAGUGGCGAACGGGUGAGUAAUGCAUCGGAACGUGCCAUUGAGUGGGGAUAACGUAGCGAAAGUUGCGCUAAUACCGCAUAUUCUGUGAGCAGGAAAGCAGGGGACCGCAAGGCCUUGCGCUCUUUGAGCGGCCGAUGUCAGAUUAGCUAGUUGGUGAGGUAACGGCUUACCAAGGCGACGAUCUGUAGCGGGUCUGAGAGGAUGAUCCGCCACACUGGAACUGAGACACGGUCCAGACUCCUACGGGAGGCAGCAGUGGGGAAUUUUGGACAAUGGGCGCAAGCCUGAUCCAGCCAUGCCGCGUGAGUGAAGAAGGCCUUCGGUU